UAGGACUGUGUUAUGAGUUCAAAAGUAUUAUCAUCAGAUCUUAAGUUUGGUAGUAAAUUCCUCCCAGAGAAGUUCAAUAUGAGGCUGCUGAGCUGAGCCAUGGUGGGCAUGGAAGGCAGCAACCUGCCAGGAGCCAAGAGCCCCACUAGGCUGGUGAGCCGCCUCGCUGCAGGUGAUUUUUUCUCCUCUAAAUAUUCCAAAAAAGGUUCCAACUGCCCGUGCAGCAGCCCAGCUAAGGCCUUUUUCCUUUACUCCCCCUGAUCUGACUCCCCCUUUGAGGAAAAGAUCAUAGAACUUGCUUUCAAAUUCCUUUCAUGUUAAUAU
rnacentral:lncRNA from 1 species